rnacentral:rRNA from 1 species
GGGGAAUAUUGGACAAUGGGGGGAACCCUGAUCCAGCCAUGCCGCGUGUGUGAAGAAGGCCUUAUGGUUGUAAAGCACUUUAAGCGAGGAGGAGGCUCUUUUGGUUAAUACCCGAGAUGAGUGGACGUUACUCGCAGAAUAAGCACCGGCUAACUCUGUGCCAGCAGCCGCGGUAAUACAGAGGGUGCGAGCGUUAAUCGGAUUUACUGGGCGUAAAGCGUGCGUAGGCGGCUUUUUAAGUCGGAUGUGAAAUCCCUGAGCUUAACUUAGGAAUUGCAUUCGAUACUGGGAAGCUAGAGUAUGGGAGAGGAUGGUAGAAUUCCAGGUGUAGCGGUGAAACGCGUAGAGAUCUGGAGGAAUACCGAUGGCGAAGGCAGCCAUCUGGCCUAAUACUGACGCUGAGGUACGAAAGCAUGGGGAGCAAAC